AGCGAACGCUGGCGGCAGGCUUAACACAUGCAAGUCGAACGAAAACUUCGGAGUUUGUGGCGGUCGGGGGAGUACCACGUGGGAACGUGCACUUUGGUACGGUAUCACUCAGGUAAACAUGAGUUAAUACCGCAUGUGCUCUUAGGGGGAAAGAUUUCUCGCCAUUAGAGCGGGCCGCGACAGAUUAGGCAGUUGGGGAGGUAACGGCACACCAAGGCGUCGAUCAGUAGCUGGUCGGAGAGGAGGACCAACCGGACUGGGGCUGAGGCACGGCCCAGACUCCGACGGAAGGCAGCAGUAGGGAGUCUUGCGCAAGGGGCGAAAGUCUGACGAAGCCGUGCGGCGUGAAUGAUGAAGGGCUUAGGAUUGUAAAAUUCUUUCUCCGGGGGCGAUAAUGACGGUACCCGGAGAAGAAGCCCCGGCUAACUUCGUG
rnacentral:rRNA from 1 species